rnacentral:tRNA from 1 species
GAAGGUACAGCUCAGUGGCAGAGCGCUGGCUUAGCAUGCAUAAGGUCCUGGGUUCAAUCCCCAGUACCUCUG